UACGUAGGGUGCGAGCGUUAAUCGGAAUUACUGGGCGUAAAGCGUGCGCAGGCGGUGAUGCAAGACAGAUGUGAAAUCCCCGGGCUUAACCUGGGAACUGCAUUUGUGACUGCAUGGCUGGAGUGCGGCAGAGGGGGAUGGAAUUCCGCGUGUAGCAGUGAAAUGCGUAGAUAUGCGGAGGAACACCGAUGGCGAAGGCAAUCCCCUGGGCCUGCACUGACGCUCAUGCACGAAAGCGUGGGGAGCAAACAGG
rnacentral:rRNA from 1 species